rnacentral:rRNA from 1 species
GAUGAACGCUGGCGGCGUGCCUAAUACAUGCAAGUCGAGCGAACGGACGAGAAGCUUGCUUUUCUGAUGUUAGCGGCGGACGGGUGAGUAACACGUGGAUAACCUACCUAUAGGACUGGGAUAACUUCGGGAAACCGGAGCUAAUACCGGAUAAUAUUUUGAACCGCAUGGUUCAAAAGUGAAAGACGGUCUUGCUGUCACUUAUAGAUGGAUCCGCGCUGCAUUAGCUAGUUGGUAAGGUAACGGCUUACCAAGGCAACGAUGCAUAGCCGACCUGAGAGGGUGAUCGGCCACACUGGAACUGAGACACGGUCCAGACUCCUACGGGAGGCAGCAGUAGGGAAUCUUCCGCAAUGGGCGAAAGCCUGACGGAGCAACGCCGCGUGAGUGAUGAAGGUCUUCGGAUCGUAAAACUCUGUUAUUAGGGAAGAACAUAUGUGUAAGUAACUGUGCACAUCUUGACGGUACCUAAGCAGAAAGCCACGGCUAACUACGU